UCGAGCGAGAAAGGGUAGCAAUAUCCUGAGUAAAGCGGCGCACGGGUUGAGUAACACGUGGGUAAUCUGCCCUGGAGUGGGGAAUAACACCGGGAAACCGGUGCUAAUACCGCAUACGAUAGCGAGGUCUGCGGACUUUGUUAUGAAAGGAGCAAUUCGCUCUAGGAGGAGCCCGCGGCUGAUUAGCUAGUUGGUGAGGUAAUGGCUCACCAAGGCUACGAUCAGUAUCCGGUCUGAGAGGACGGUCGGACACACUGGAACUGAGACACGGUCCAGACUCCUACGGGAGGCAGCAGUGGGGAAUUUUUGGCAAUGGGGGCAACCCUGACCAAGCAACGCCGCGUGGGUGAUGAAGUAUCUCGGUACGUAAAACCCUUUCGACGGGGAAGAAAACCGCAAGGUUUGACGGUACCCGUAGAAGAAGCCCCGGCUAACUCCGUGCCAGCAGCCGCGGUAAUACGGGGGGGGCGAGCGUUGUUCGGAAUUACUGGGCGUAAAGGGUGCGUAGGCGGUGCUCUAAGUCGGAUGUGAAAACUCUGGGCUCAACCCAGAGCCUGCAUCCGAAACUGGAGUGCUAGAGUUCUGGAGGGGGUAGCGGAAUUCCUGGUGUAGCGGUGAAAUGCGUAGAUAUCAGGAGGAACACCGGUGGCGAAGGCGGC
rnacentral:rRNA from 1 species